rnacentral:lncRNA from 1 species
UCGGUGGCCUGGUUGAGCAGGAUGAUCAUGCGCUUCUGGGAGAUCCAGGGCUUGCUCUCCAGCAGGGUCUUAAGCUCCUCCCAGGCGUCCUUGCGGGGCCAGAAGUAGUAAGGGCUCAGCGGGACGGCGCCGUGGCCGGGAAUGACAUGGUCCAGGGCGAGGCCGAUGUUCUUCUCCAUCCAUAUGAACUUAAGCACCAGCCUCGGCUUCCCCGCCGCGCCUUUCGCCGCCACCUCCAGACUCUGCACAUCACAUGAGCACCCGACGGACACACUGAGAAGAUCAUCGCUAUCUAUAUCUCAUUCGGGAAACCCGGUGCCCUAAUUCAGAUACUCAAUCGGUCAUCAAAAUUGGGGGAAAAACCAAUGAGACGAGUGUGAGGAAUCUCCAACCUCCUUCCCUUCGUCCUCCACGACUGGUACGCCCAGGGAUUCUUCCGCUUCCGCCUCAGCCACGGCCGCCGCCGCCGCUGCCGGCGGCAGGCGCGUCAACAUCUGCGGUCUCUUGCAGACGACGCCAUUCGAGAGGAUGCGAGAGUUGGGUGCAGCGAAGGAGGCGCUGGCCAGCGAGCAUCGGGGAGAACGAGAGGCGACCGAGCAUUGGGCGGCGGCGGCGCC